rnacentral:rRNA from 1 species
UACAGAGGGUGCAAGCGUUAAUCGGAAUAAUUGGGCGUAAAGGGUGCGUAGGCGGCGACAUAAGUCUUAUGUGAAAGUCAAUGGCUUAACCAUUGAAAGCCAUAAGAGACUGUGUUGCUAGAGUACUGUAGAGGGCAGUGGAAUUUCUGGUGUAGCGGUGAAAUGCGUAGAUAUCAGAAGGAACAUCAGUGGCGAAGGCGACUGUCUAGACAGAUACUGACGCUGAGGCACGAAAGCGUGGGUAGCGAACAGGA